GAUUAACGCUGGCGGCGUGCCUAAUGCAUGCAAGUCGGACGCGUCCGGACUUCGGUUUGGGUGGCGUGGCGGACGGGUGAGGAGCGCGUGGGCAACCUGCCCAAAGGUGGGGGGUAGCCCUCGGAAACGGGGGGUAAUUCCGCAUGGGGUCGACCUUCUUGUGGGGAGGUUGAGCAAAGGCCGGUGCAAGCCGGUCGCCUUUGGAGGGGCCUGCGUCCGAUUAGC
rnacentral:rRNA from 1 species